rnacentral:rRNA from 1 species
ACUUCUGCCAAAACCGCCGGAAUAUCUGAGGAUCGCCACCGGUGUGGAGGGGCAAUCCUGCUCCACUGGCUUUUCCUUGACGUCUACCGGCACCACCGUCCCUCGGGACCAACAAGGGUAGUACAGGAAUAUUCCUGUUGUCCAUCGACUACGGACCUUUCGGACCUGAUCUUAGGCCCUACUCACCCUCCCGUGGACGAACCUUGCGGAGGAACCCUUAGGUUAUUUUCGGCAUUGAUUGCUCACACUGGGACUGAGAACAAACGGCCCGGACUCCCACGGGGGGCCAAGCAGUGGGGAAUCUUGGACAAAUGGGCGAAAGCUCCGUCCAGCAAUACUCGCGUGAGUGAAGAAGGGCAAUGCCGCUUGUAAAGCCUCUUUUCGUGAGUUGCGCGAUCAUGACAGGACUCGAGAAGAAGCCCCGGCUAAACUCCGUGCCAGCAGCCGCGGUUAAGACGGGGGGUGGCAAGUGUUCUUCGAAUGGACUGGGCGUAAAUUUGGCACGUAAGCGGUGAAUCGGCGUGGAAGUAAAGUCGCCAAAAACUGGCGGGAAUUGCUAUCGAAAACCAAUUCACUUGGGUGGAGACAAGAGGAGAGUGGAAUUUCGUGGUUAGGGGUGAAAAUCCGGCAGCAUCUACGAAGGAACGCCAAAAGCGAAGCAGCUCUCUGGGUCCCUACCUACGCUGGGGUGCGAAAGCAUGCGGGAGCGAAACAGGAAUUAGAUACCCUGGUUAGUCCAUGCGUAAACGAUGGGGAGUUGUUCGCCCUUGGUCUUACACGGAUCUCGGAUCAGAGGCCCAGCCCUAAAAACGCUGGUGAAACACUCCGCCUGGGGAGUACGGUGGCUAAGACCGAACUCAAAGGAAUUUUGACGGGGGCCUGCACAAGCGUGGAGCAUGUGGUUUUAUUCCGAUACGCGCAAAACCUUACCAGCCACUUGACAUAUGUAUUCUAACAAAACCUGUCCUUAACGGAUUGGUACUGACUUUCCAUACAGGUGCUGCAUGGCUGUCGUCAGCUCGUGUCGUGAGAUGUUUGGUCAAGUCCUAUAAACGAGCGAAACCCUCGUUUUGUGUUGCUGAGACACUGCGCUUAAGGAGAAAGUCUUUUGCAACCGAAGUGAGCCAAGGAGCCGGGUGACGUGCCAGCGCUCUUUACUAAUUGAGUGCCAGCACGUAGCUUGCUGUCAGUUAAGAAGGAGCCGGCGCCUUUCUAAGUACUUUCUAGUUUAGCGCUUUUCGUUUUUCAAAUAAAGGACGUUAGGGCUUUACUAAUUAAAAUAGAAAGGGCUUUUCUCCUUGUUUAGUAAAGUCACGU